GACGAACGCUGGCGGCGUGCUUAACACAUGCAAGUCGAACGGAAAUGCCCUGCUUUUGUGGGGUGCUCGAGUGGCGAACGGGUGAGUAACACGUGAGUAACCUGCCCUUGACUUUGGGAUAACUUCAGGAAACUGGGGCUAAUACCGGAUAGGAGCUCCUGCUUCAUGGUGGGGGUUGGAAAGUUUCGGCGGUUGGGGAUGGACUCGCGGCUUAUCGGCUUGUUGGUGGGGUAGUGGCUUACCAAGGCUUUGACGGGUAGCCGGCCUGAGAGGGGGACCGGCCAAAUUGGGACGGAGAUAAGGCCCAGACUCGUAUGGGAGGCAGGAGUGGGGAAUAGUGCACAAGGGGCGGAAGCCUGAUGCAGCAACGCCGCGUGCGGGAUGACGGCCUGCGGGUUGUAAACCGCUUUCGCCUGUGACGAAGCGUGAGUGACGGUAAUGGGUAAAGAAGCACCGGCUAACUACGUG
rnacentral:rRNA from 1 species